UAUCUCUGUAGAGUCUGCAUAUCAAUAAGCGGAGGAAAAGAAACUAACUAGGAUUCCCUCAGUAACGGCGAGUGGAGCGGGAAGAGCUCAAAUUUGAAAUCUUCAAGGUUCUACCUUGACGAAUUGUAGUUUAAAGAAGUGUUUUCUGUUGGAGUUUUGGUAAAAGUUCUUUGGAAUAGGACAUCAUAGAGGGUGAGAAUCCCGUAUUUGACCAUUAUUUCCAGCUUUGUGAUACACUUUCAAAGAGUCGGAUUGUUUGGGAAUGCAGUCCAAAAUGGGUGGUAAAUUUCAUCUAAAGCUAAAUACUGGCGAGAGACCGAUAGCGAACAUUAGAGAGUUACCGUGAGGGAAAGAUGAAAAGAACUUUGAAAAGAGAGUUAAACAGUACAUGAAAUUGUCAAAAGGGAAGCGUUUGACACCAGUGUUGUUUUCUCGAAAAUCAAUUAAAAAAGGCAGGAUUUUGUAUUGUUAAUGACCUUAUCAGCUUACUGUACUCUUUUCUUGUCUUUUUUUAAUGCACUUUUCGUUUAACAAGUCAACAUCAAUUUCUUUUGUUGUAAAAGGAGUCAUUGGAAGGUGGCUUUCACUUCGGUGAAAGUGUUUAUAGCCUUUGGCUUCUGCAAUCGGAGAGAUUGAGGUCUGCAGCGUAGAUCCUUCGGGGCUAGAUACAUUAGAUGCUAAGUUAUAGCUUUUUAUAGACAACUUGUUGACUAUAGAUUAAGUCAUGUAGCUUACUCGUUAUGCGCUAUUUUACCUACGCUUAGGAUGUUGACGAUCAGCUGAGCGCG
rnacentral:rRNA from 1 species